AUUUAUAAUUUAUCCCCGUAUUCUUUUAUAAAUUUAUACCGUUGGCGAAAAAGAAAAAGAAGAAUAUUUUGAUUUUUUUGCUGGUUUUUUAAACACAGCGUCGAAGACGUACGCGCCGUUUAAUAUCCCUUUUCUAUGUAUAACCUGUAUAAAAAAAAUUA
rnacentral:ribozyme from 1 species